rnacentral:rRNA from 1 species
AUUGAACGCUGGCGGCAGGCUUAACACAUGCAAGUCGAACGAGUGGCGGACGGGUGAGUAAUGCUUGGGAAUCUCGCUUAUGGAGGGGGCUACCUACGGGAAACUGUAGCUAAUACCGCGUCCCGUAGGAUGAGCCCAAGGGGGAUUAGGUAGUUGGGGAGGUAAAGGCUCACCAAGCCGACGAUCUCUAGCUGGUCUGAGAGGAUGACCAGCAACACGGGGACUGAGACACGGCCCAGACUCCUACGGGAGGCAGCAGUGGGGAACAUUGCGCAAUGGGGGCAACCUGACGCAGCCAUGCCGCGUGUAUGAAGAAGGCCUUCGGGGUGUAAAGGUCUUUCGGUAGCGAGGCGUUAACUACAGAAGAAGCACUGGCUAACUCCGUGCCAGCAGCCGCGGUAAUUC